rnacentral:sRNA from 1 species
GCUGGGCUUGGUGGCCCAUGCCUGUGGUCCCAGUUACUUGAAAGGCUGAGGCAGGAGGAUCAUUUGUACCCAGGUGUUGCAGACUAGUCAGGGCAACAGAGAGAGGCCCUGUCUCAA